rnacentral:rRNA from 1 species
GACGAACGCUGGCGGCGUGCCUAAUACAUGCAAGUAGAACGCACAGUUUAUACCGUAGCUUGCUACACCAUAGACUGUGAGUUGCGAACGGGUUCUUAACGCGUAGGUCACCUGCCUGGUAGCGGGGGAUAACUAUAGGAAACGAUAGCUACUACCGCAUAAUAUUGAUUAUUGCAUGAGAAUUAAUUGAAAGGUGCAAUUGCCCCACUACCAGAUGGUCUUCCGUUGUAUUAGUGAGUAGGUGAGGUAACGGCUCAUCUAUGCGACGAUACAUAGCCGAGCUGAGAGGGUGAUCGGCCACACUGGGACUGAGACACGGCCCAGACUCCUACGGGAGGCAGCAGUAGGGAAUCUUCGGAAAUGGAGGAAAGUCUGACCGAGCAACGCCGCGUGAGUGAAGAAGGUUUUCGGAUCGUAAAGCUCUGUUGUAAGAGAAGAACGGGUGUGAGAGUGGAAAGUUCACACUGUGACGGUAUCUUACCAGAAAGGGACGGCUAACUACGUG